CGUCUUCGCCUCCGAAAUCAAAGAUGGCGCCACUUCCGCCCGUCAAAAACCGCAGGAGUUCGUACCGACACGUCUCGACUCUCGGCGGCCGAAAACAAAAAUCUCUCUUCGCCGGACGUUUUCCCGUCGAAAAUUCUUCAACGGCUUUUUUGUCUUUUCUCGAAAAGUGAUUGUAACCGACCUUCGUUGCAAAUGGGGAGAAGGUGAUGUAUACGCGAGGACGUCGUAAAAGAAGCCGUUUAUCGACGAAAGAGGCGCACGCCUUCAAUUUAUGACAUGUCCAGCCCCGUUUUAUUCAGAUAUAAAAUAAUUAGUGUUUCAAGAAUUGAUUGGGAAAUGAGAAAGUCAUGGUAAUGAAAGUUUGAUUAAAUUCAGUUAUAUUUUUUAUCUUAAAAAUAAAAGUCAAAGAUAUGCAAUUGCUAUGAAAAGAGGAAGUAUAAGAUCUAACGAGAUGCACAUCAGAUAUAUUUGAAGAUUGACAAGAUGGCUAUUGUUCGUUAUUGAAAACAUACUCUGACUCAGUAAAAGCUAAGAAAAAAAUACAUUAGUCAAAGUUUUGACAGUCCAGAUCAAGAUGUUUUCAUAGUGGAUUUAUAUCAGAACUAAUCUUUUGAAGGUUCAAAUGGCUUGGCUUGACAUAAAAAACAGAUGUUACAGAGGCGCUGGGAACGGCCGUUCUCGUCGCAACAUUGAUACUGCUUACCCAACUUGAAAAACUCUCCAUAGAAGAAUCCUGAUAUUCUUUCAAGCGCCUCGCGGAGCCACGGUCUUCGAUUACAAUUCGCUCGCUCGCGGGUUCGAAGGGAUCUCCGAGUCAGUGAGGCGCGCAGAAAGAAUCUCAGGAUGCCCCAGCAGCACCACGCCUCAGCGCAACAAACCAGACAAGCCGAUCUGUACCGACUUACAUCCAGCUGGACUGUGUAGAGACCUCUAUUUAGAAAGUAAAGAGAUUUUUUGUGAGAAUUUUGUAUGUACCUCGACAAUAGGUUACGUAUCUUCGAUUCAUGAAUUGUAAAGAAAGAUAACCUGCACGUUUCAAUACAGUUUGGGUAAAAUGCACUUUUACGCACGCUCCGUGUGCGUUCAAUCAUACUUCCCGCCUCCUGGAUCAAAAAAUAACCUAUGAUACACAUGCGAAAAGUUGAUUGUGCACUCGCUUCGCUCGGCCGACAAACCUCCCACUCGGGAAGAAUCAACUUUUGCGCACGUGUAUCGAAAUAUACUAUAUUCGAUACUAUAUUCACCUUUUCCGUCUUGGCAGUUUCUUGUUAAUCAACCAUAAAGAAAGUAACGCAUAGUGAUCAGUUGUAUUUCACGCCUCCUCCUCGUGAUUAACAUGUAUAAAGAAAUAUUUAUAUUUGAGGUUAUGUUGGGUCAGGGACUCAUGCUCCCUUUACAAUUAUAAUUAUGAGGCAUGUGAUAAGUCAUGCAAAUGAAGUUGAUUCCAAGCCACUAUUCAAAAUUUUCGGAACGCAUGGAAAUUUAUUCUCUAUCAAACAUCAUCACGCCGAUGCAAAAAAAAAUGACAAAAAAACCAAUCGCAGCUAUAGCACUUAACGAAUCAAGAGAACAACAUGUCAUGAUGUAAUGACAAAGCGCAGUGGUGAAUUCUUCUCAGAAACUCGCCAGAUCCAGCUCCGAUUGGACUCUUUGAAAUGGUUUCGCCGAUAAUUAAUGACCUUCGCAAUUAAGCCAGAGAGCGCGCAAAUGAGUGCAACUAUAAACACGUCUGGAUUAGUAAGAAUACGGUGCUUGUUCGUAAAACCGAUAAUUUGAAAGUUAUUCCGAUUGUCACCAAAUCAGACCUCGACAAAAUGAUUUGACGCCACGAUGAGCCAAAUAUUCUGAGAGAAAAUCCGAAAAUUCUUUCUUAGGAGUUGCUCAUAUAAAUGUCAACUCGCUCCGCGACCAUUUGGAUAAAAUAAAUGAUUUCCUAGUAAGCAAAAGUGUUGACAUUCUUUCAAUAUCUGAAACCUGGCUCACUCCUGACCAUGCAGAUGCCUCAGUCCAUCUCUCUAAUUACCAGCUUAUUCGCAACGAUCGCGGCGUUCUUAGUAAGAAACAAAGCAAACGCACAUAUGUACAGGGUGGUGGCGUAGCAUGUUAUGUACGAAAUGGCAUUAAUUUCAAGGUCCUCCAGAGGUCAAAAAUUACUAGUAUUGACCAGACAGAGUACUUGAUCAUCGAAUUAGUAGUGGAGAACGAUGAGCGCUUUCUUUUUUCCACGGUCUAUAGGAGACCAUAGGCUCAUGUCUUGUCGGAGUUCUUCAUCGCACUGAUGCGAUUUAUGCCGUUGUACACUAAUUUAAUAAUUCCAGGAGACUUAAAUGCAAAUCUUAUCGACCCGAAUAACUAUUAUGGCACACAUCUUACAGCCCUCAUUGAAGAACACUCGCUUUAUUUUGUCCCCAGCGGAGCUUUACAUCAUAUUAAUCUCUCAGAUACAUGGCUCGAUCUUAUCUUAGUAAAUAACAAAGAUUUAGUCGUUAACUUCGAAAAAUCAACAGCGCCCUUCAUUUGUGGGCAUGACUACCUCAUAGUGGAUUUUCUCUUGCGCAACGUAAAGCCGAUAACAGAGUUAAUUUUGGCGAGUCUUCGUACAAUGACGGAUUACUGGUGCGAUUUCAGUUAAAAUGGCUGAGUUUUUUUUUCAGUGAAGAGCCCACGUGCGCGCCAGGCUCGGAGUUUUUAUGAGUUGGACUAUAGGGCCUCUUUGUAUUUUAGAAAAGAAACUUGAAUCCUUCGAUUUUUCCGAGGUUGAAAUGUUUUUCCACUAGACGGGAGGCGUAAUAGAAUCGAGAGUAAAAUUUUGUAAAUGUAUUUUGAAUGUAAAGUUUUAAAUGAAGAUAGUAAUUGUUAUACUCAGAUUAUGAAAUUUGUUUAUGCAAUUAAAUGUAGAAGUAUAUGAAAAAUCGGUUCGCGACAGAAUAUCUUAUGUAAAUAUGUUCUAAGUAGUUUGAAUUUUGUUAAGAGAUAAAGGUAACUUUGUAUAUUUUAUUAAUUUAGAGUUAUAAAUAUAAGCGUAAAUUUUUCGUGGCAGUUAUUCGAGUUAUAAGCAGAAUUCGGAAGUAUUUGAAAUUAUUGUAUUAAGGUGUCAAGUUUUGUUGAGAUUUGCGUAAUGCGCGCGGUUAUCGUUUAUUUUUGGAAUAGAGAAUGCAAAGAAAGACUUCAAAUAUUUUUGGCAUGGAAAUUCAAUGCGUUGUUUUUAUUUCAUAUCUAUUGAGAGUUAAAAUUGCAAAUAUACUGCCUAUUGAAUUUUUCUAGGACGAAUUUGUAGCGGCUAUUUUUCACGGAGUCACUAAUAUUCGAACCUGAUGUCUGCGAGAACGAUGAGGUUACUGGGUACAACAGUUACAGCAUCGCUGUUUGAAGAAAAGUGCAUUACUUAGCACUGCUAGGAACGAUCAUCAUCACAACCCGGAGCGGAAAGCAAGCAGCAGAGAAGCGGCUCAUCCAGAGCGGCGAUUUGAAAUGAUAAGAAUGUAUAUGCGAAGAUUUCUAUUUACGCAGUUAUGCUUUCGUAUUCGCAUUUGAAUCGGUUUUGUUAAGAAUUCUUAGAUAAUAAUUUAAUAUAGAUACGCACAGUUUAUUGUGCGAAGUAGGAUUUCGAGACGGAAAACGAAAAUAUUUGUUGAUUGAUCGCAGUAGGCUUUUGAGGCGCUGCGACGAAAAUAAUAGAAAUUUGAAUGCGAAAACUUUUUACGAAGUAGGCUUUUGAGGCGCUGCGAUAUAGUUGAACUGAAUAUAAUUUGAUUUCUUUAGCACGUUUAAAAUUGAUUUUGAAUGAUUUAGUAAGAUAAAAGAAAAUGAUGUGGUUUUAAGGAAAUAAAUGUUUAUAAUUUCACACGACUCUAAAUUGCUUUAAUUCUGACAGUUGCUUCGCUGAUUGGCUAGGGCCCAGGCAAAUUGGCGUGGCCUCUGUGCUGAGUUGGGUAAUUUUUUGUUUUGUAAAUUGUGGACAUUAAGAAAUUUUCGUGAUAGUCAUCGUGAAUUCUGUGAGCAAUAGGUCAGGCCGCGCAAACACUCACAGGGAUGAGCUGCAUGAGAGUAACUAAUAUGUGAUAUUGGCACUAGGGAUAUGAAAUCUGUGUACCGGUGACGUUUUUGAUGUGCGAAGAAGCUCUUGCAGUGCGUGGAAUUUGGCAGUGCGAUUCCACGGCUGUAGCGCCUCUUGGGUUCAGGACGAUUUGAAGUCGUCCUGAGACUGUUGUAGUACCUUGGUUAAGAGUCGCUCUGCGCUAAGGUAGUUCGAAUGUCGAGGCCGAUGAGUCUGAGCAGGGGGAGCGUCAUUGAGGUACUCUAAUUUGGUAACGCGUAGAAGCGUAGAAUUUUAUUAAAUUAUCGCAGUUUUAUAUCGUGAUUGAUAGAGAUGAACUGACAAAUAAGGAAAAUGCUAGAUGUUAUUUGAAUGCGAAUGCGAAAAGCGUGGCUAUUUUGAUUAGGCAGAAAGUGUUCGAUGAACGAUACACAUAAUGUAAUUUGGAUCACGAAAGUCCGAACUGAUAGUGGCGAGUGUAGCAGACCUGCGCAUAAGUUAAUUAGAUUGUUAAAAGUAAGCGAUUACGAAGUAUGAAUAUUUGGGACGUAUGUGUGGGCGUAUGCAUGUAUGUGUGUUCUUUAUAUUUUAUUUUGUACGUGUGUUCGAUGCCAUUUCCCUUCUUCAAGUUUACAUGGUUUUCCUGGAGGCAAUGGGCGAAUGCCAGGGAUUAUGUACUUUUGAAUCCGCGCUAGUGUUCAAUUGUACUGGCAGCACAUAUUUGAUUUUAGUAUGCAGUAUGAUGUAUGGUACAAAAUUACGGAGAUUUUGUACGAGGGGGAGAAUUGUUCCGGACGUAACCGAGGGCUACUAGGGAUAAUAGCAAGUGCACCGUAUUUAUUCUUUAUUAAUAAUAUAUUCUACCUAUUAAAAGUCUCUCAGUGUAGUCCUCGGGAAAGCAUCUUUGUUUUAGCGGGCCCGACUUUUCGGCGGCGUUUAAUGAGUAGAGCGUCAGUUCUCGGCGACAACUUAUGAGAGGUCACACCAGGACCUGAUCGUUAGGAGAUUUCAAUAAAGUCAUAAUAUCUGAUCAACAA